AAUGAACGUUGGCGGCGUGGAUUAGGCAUGCAAGUCGUGCGAGAAUCGUAGCAAUACGAGGACAGCGGCGAAAGGGAGAGGAACACGUGGAUACCUACCCUCGGGAUCGGGAUAGCUACGGGAAACUGCAGGUAAUACCGAAUAACAUCUUCGGAUCAAAGGUGUGAUUCCGCCCGGGGACGGGUCCGCGUCCUAUUAGCUAGUUGGUGGGGUAACGGCCUACCAAGGCAAAGAUGGGUACGGGGUGUGAGAGCAUGCCCCCGCUCACUGGGACUGAGAUACUGCCCAGACACCUACGGGUGGCUGCAGUCGAGAAUCUUCGGCAAUGGGCGCAAGCCUGACCGAGCGACGCCGCGUACGGGAUGAAGGCCUUCGGGUUGUAAACCGUUGUCAGUGGGGAGGAAAUGUCGGUGGGUUCCCCCAUCGAUUUGACCUAUCCGCAGAGGAAGGACGGGCUAAGUUCGUGCCAGCAGCCGCCGUAAUAC
rnacentral:rRNA from 1 species